UACGGAGGGUGCGAGCGUUGUCCGGAAUCACUGGGCGUAAAGGGCGCGUAGGCGGCGCGGGAAGUCAUCGGUGAAAGUUCAGGGCUCAACUCUGAAUCGGCCGGUGAUACUCCCGUGCUCGAGCACUGUAGAGGCAGGUGGAAUUCCGGGUGUAGCGGUGGAAUGCGUAGAUAUCGUAAGGAAGACCAGUGGCGAAGGCGGGUCUCUGGACAGUUCCUGACGCUGAGGCACGAAGGUCAGGGGAGCAAACGGG
rnacentral:rRNA from 1 species